UACGAAGGGGGCUAGCGUUGCUCGGAAUUACUGGGCGUAAAGCGUGCGCAGGCGGCUUUGCAAGACAGAUGUGAAAUCCCCGGGCUUAACCUGGGAACUGCAUUUGUGACUGCAUGGCUGGAGUGCGGCAGAGGGGGAUGGAAUUCCGGCGUGUAGCAGUGAAAUGCGUAGAGAUGUGGAGGAACACCGAUGGCGAAGGCAGCCCCCUGGGCCAAUACUGACGCUCAUGCACGAAAGCGUGGGGAGCAAACAGG
rnacentral:rRNA from 1 species